UACGGAGGAUCCAAGCGUUAUCCGGAUUUAUUGGGUUUAAAGGGUGCGUAGGCGGCCUAUUAAGUCAGGGGUGAAAGACGGUAGCUUAACUAUCGCAGUGCCUUUGAUACUGAUGGGCUUGAAUGAACUAGAGGUAGGCGGAAUGUGACAAGUAGCGGUGAAAUGCAUAGAUAUGUCACAGAACACCAAUUGCGAAGGCAGCUUACUAUGGUUUUUAUUGACGCUGAGGCACGAAAGCGUGGGGGAUCAAACAGG
rnacentral:rRNA from 1 species